CAGGUUCUGGACUAUCAAAUUAAAAUCCUACGCAAGAAACAAAGGACCACGUCAAGACUCUGCGUAUACUUCUCUACCUAUCGCGGCUUCAGCAAUUUGCUAUAAACAAAAGGAUGCGAUAGUGAGAAUUGAGUACCACACAAUUCACGACUGGCUGACUCCGAGGAUGUGGAACUGCAGAUAUGGACACAGAUAUGGAGGAACCUCGGAUACAGAGGGCCAACUCUCCAGGGCACUCGGCUCUCAACCUGGUUCCUGCGGGGCUGAGAAUAGAGAAGAAAAUGGAGAUUCACUCACAUCAGUCUGGAGGUGCGCAGGUGCUUCCGAGUUGUCGUUGAUCCUCCGGACGCUGUCAUAGUGCU